rnacentral:misc_RNA from 1 species
GGACGGACGAGUGAGCGCGAGGCCAUGAGGGACAAGUUCCUGGGCUCCUCCAGGGACAACCUCAACCAGGCGGCCAAGAUGGAGAGGCUCACGGAGGAGAUGAAGAAGGUAAAGGACCUUGCGCCGCUCGUUCUUGGGGAAGGCAUUGACGGCAGAGACAGCUCGCUCACCAGACUACCUGGUGACCCCAAACCGAAGACGAAGGAGGAGUUCACAGACUCCCUGAAGAGGGCGUGUCGAACCAUGGAGGAGAUGAAGAGGAUGAUGAAUCUCAUGGACGACAGAGACCGGCUGAAAAGGGCGCCGUCCUUCCGAAGAGCGCUAUCGGUGGAGGACAGCGAAGACGAGGGCCCGCCCUCACGCCCACGCAGCGCCCAGAGAGGCUCGCUACGCCCACGCGGCCACAAGUCCUCGCUCUACCGGAAGACGCAAUCCCUCGAUCACCAGAUGGCGGAGGACCGAGGCAAGAUCUGGGUCUCGACGGACGCCGGCAGCACCACCAGCAUAGACUCCACCCUGACGGACGACAUGCGCAGAGCCAAGUACGACCGCGACAUCUCCCUGGACAGGAUCUCCACGGGUUCCCAGACAAGUGACCUCGAUCCCCUCGGCGACAAGAAGAAAAAGGGAAUCAAAGGAAUGAUUUCGAAGCUCACCAAGUCGCGCUCCAUCGAGGACUCGGCCACGGGAGGUUCCAUCGGGGGCGCCGGGGUCAAGGCGAUGGGCGUGGGCAUGGGCGGGUCCGGGAACGACAUCCCGAGUGACGUCGAGAAGGACUCCGUCAAGGGCAAGCUGAAGGGCCUCUUCAAGAAGGGGCCGCCGUCGAGAUCGCAGAGCGUUGACCGAGCAGACGGGACAAGUGUCAAGAAAAUCGCCAGUUCCUACGAUUAUGACACUGCUUCAAUGGCAUCGAAUGCUUCUUCGAAAUCCACAAGCAACCAGCCUCCAGCACAGUGACCGAGGGAUAUUUUUUGGACCUCCGAGAGAACCUUAGACCGCCCGGCUCGUUUACAGAGGCGGUGAUGAGCUACACACAUAAGAACACCUCCCUGGAGAGUAACACGAGCGCCAACAUCCCGCCGGUCAUGAGAAGAUUCCGAGGGCGCAACCAGC